rnacentral:rRNA from 1 species
GCCGGCAGCUAGCUCUCUGCAACUCUCACAUGGUCACCCACUGAAGCUAAGCAGGGCGGCGCCCGGUCAGUACCUGGAUGAAAGACCACAUGGGAAAGCUAGGUUGCUGCCGGAA